AAACCUACCUGUUGCCAGCUUAUCUCCACAAUAUCAUCUUGGCCUCAUUUUUUGGCCGUUAGUAUAUAUUGUUCAUGAAAAGCAGCUUUAAUUUGGAGUAUGCACCAUGGAGCACAAUACAAAAUUCAGAUAAUAAAUGUCCUAAAACUGGCCACAGCAUUAGCUUAUUCAAUGUUUUACUUAGGUGGCCAAUUGAAUAAUGAAAAUCCAGUAAUCCAGGGACUGUUGGAUGUCAGAUAGAAGACUGUAAGACUCAGAUCCAGCUGAUUACUGGAGACUCUGACAGAAGCUUGUUUUCCUUGGGUGGUCCAAUUGAGCCAAAUAUGUGUCCUUAAGAGUUGAAAAUGUUUCGACUACAUUGGGGUUUAAUGAAUCUGCUUCAUAAACGUACUGGGAUUAAAACCUGUGCUUUCUCGUUGAGCUUGAAGUUCCAUUCCUGGUCAAAUCUUACCUACAGCGUAUUACUUCUCGUUUGGUUGUGCUUCUUCUUCCUGAGCUUUCAGCCACAUCACACGGCCUUCAUCAGUGGAGGGCGUUUGCUCAGUCGCCAUGGAGACAGUUUAGUUCUCAUCAGCUACAGCUUCAGUCAGAUAAUCAUUGUCAUCGUCUCUGUUUUCUGUCAAAACUGAGCAAACAAACUCUGCUGCUGAAGACCGGUGUGAUAACUAACAGACACUUCACUUGUUUUAAUGACUAUAAGCAGCACAGAGUUUUAUUUUUAUUUAACAAGCUGUUGUUGGAGUUUUCUUAAUAAUGAGUUUUAUCAGAAGUAUGAAAACCUUAGCCGUCCUCUUCCUGCUUCACCCACUUUAGAGAAGACGCAUUAACAGAAACGCACAUAAGUUUUAAAUCAACUCUUAAUUAAAGUCAGCAUUUAUACACAUUAAGAUAUAAAUGUCAAGUUUCAGAGAUGCAUGUGACGUGAAGCGGACACUGCUGGGAAUUUGACUCAUGAAGCAGAACUUUGAUUUAAUUAGUUGGUAGUGUUGAUGUGUAUUUCUAUAUUUGAAUCAGGGAGAAUAUCGAAGUGAUUUUAGAGACAUGAAGAGUGGAAGUUUGAUGUUUGUAAUAAAUACUUUCAUGCCGUUUUAACCUGUGGAUGUGCCAGUGAGUCACAGGAUGUUUGUCAUGUGAACUUGUGAAGUCCUGCUGUUUGCACUGAUUCAUAACCUCGAUGCUUGGCUACUUAAGUUUUUGUGUUUUUUUUUUUUUCCUGUGAAAGUGUUUUAUUACAUGUGUGUUUGAUUGCUGUCAAUGUGUGGUUGUUUGAACCUGUUUAUUUUCAUUCCAGAUGUUUACUUACACCAUUUUUUUGUCUAAUUCAGUCUGUGUUACCAUCUGGUUGUCUGAAACCACUUGUGAGCUCUUUAUUACCUUUUUUUUUUUUUAAUGGUUUCCAAACUGUAAUUAUGCUUGACGUGUACUCGGACAUCACAUCACGCUUUGUUGUGUGUUGAUGCAGUGAAACGUUAUCACUCUUUAUAUGCUCAAUAAAUCAACCUCACAUGGA